GAGGCCUGCCUUUCAGGCAUCCUCUCCUAAGACUUAGUGGGCUGGUCGUUCGAUCGGCCCUUUUUUUUCGCCUGG
rnacentral:sRNA from 1 species